GACGAACCGUGCGAACGUUAUUCGGAAUCACUGGGCUUAAAGGGCGCGUAGGCGGGCUGCCAAGUCAGGGGUGAAAGCCCACGGCUCAACCGUGGAAGUGCCUUUGAUACUGGCAAUCUCGAGGGAGGUAGGGGCGUGCGGAACUUCCGGUGGAGCGGUGAAAUGCGUAGAUAUCGGAAGGAACACCGGUGGCGAAAGCGGCGCGCUGGGACGGUACUGACGCUGAGACGCGAAAGCGUGGGGAGCAAACAGG
rnacentral:rRNA from 1 species